rnacentral:rRNA from 1 species
CAAAGGUAGCGUAAUCACUUGUCUUAUAAAUAAAGACCGGUAUGAACGGCUAAAUGAAUAUUUAACUGUCUCCUUUAACCAAUCAGUGAAACUGAUUUUUCAGUACAAAAGCUGAAAUAUAAACAUAAGACGAGAAGACCCUGUGGAGCUUAAAAUUUUUAUUAAGUAACUACACAAAACAUACCCAUAAAAAAAAGUUUUGAGUUGGGGCGACUUUGGAGCAAAACAAAACCUCCAAGAAGGGGUAUUACCUAAACAAGGCAGACAGGCCAAACCACACGACCCAGCAUUGCUGAUCAACGAACCAAGUUACCCCAGGGAUAACAGCGCCAUCUUCUUCAAGAGUUCAUAUCGACAAGAAGGUUUACGACCUCGAUGUUGGAUCAGGACACCCAAAUGGUGCAGCCGCUAUUAAAGGUUCGUUUGUUCAACGAUUAACAGU